rnacentral:rRNA from 1 species
CCUACGGGUGGCAGCAGUGGGGAAUAUUGCACAAUGGGGGAAACCCUGAUGCAGCGACGCCGCGUGAGUGAAGAAGUAUCUCGGUACGUAAAGCUCUAUCAGCAGGGAAGAAAAUGACGGUACCUGACUAAGAAGCCCCGGCUAACUACGUGCCAGCAGCCGCGGUAAUACGUAGGGGGCAAGCGUUAUCCGGAUUUACUGGGUGUAAAGGGAGCGUAGACGGCAGCACAAGUCUGGAGUGAAAUCCCGGGGCUUAACCCCGGAACUGCUUUGGAAACUGGGCGGCUGGAGUGGAGGAGGGGUAAGCGGAAGUCCUAGUGGAGCGGUGAAAUGCGUAGAUAUUAGGAGGAACAACGGUGGGGAAGGCGGGUUACUGGACUGUAAAUGAAGGUGAGGCUCGAAAGCGUGGGGAGCAAACAGGAUUAGAUACCCCGGUAGUC